CUCAAGGGGAGGGUGCUACAGCGUUGGCUAUAUCUGUUGUUUCUGCACUACGUCGGGCCAUUGAGUCUGUCCAUCGAGAUAUUGGGGUACCUGAUACCUUCUUUAACAACGAUCCUCCAUGUACUGUAGAGACCAAUUUUCUGAGAUGCCGCACAAAGAUAGAGGAUUAUACUUUAGAAUGAAUACUGAAGGUUUCCUCAAUGUAUGGCAUACAUUGUAAGUCAUGAUACACUACAAGUCUUGAGAAUCCAAUAACUUCAAUAUAAAUCAGACACUGAAAAAUUCUAAUUAUUUUACAGUCAAUUUAUAAGAAUUCCAUAACCUAUUUUUUUUAAUGGUUAAUUUUUGUGCUUGUAUAAAAAUAUCAAAACAUAAAAAAUCACAUUCUGUUUUGGGAAUGUAGAGUGGAUUAUAUGAAUAAAUUUCAUUGAUUUCUGCCAA